rnacentral:misc_RNA from 1 species
CCGAGUUUACAACUCCCAAACCCCUGUGAACAUACCUAUACGUUGCCUCGGCGGAUCAGCCCGCGCCCCGUAAAAACGGGACGGCCCGCCCGAGGACCCCUAAACUCUGUUUUUAGUGGAACUUCUGAGUAAAACAAACAAAUAAAUCA